UUUUGAGUAGACCCUGUCGUUGUGAGAAUUCUUAAUUCAUGAGUUGUAGGGAGGGACUUAUGUCACCACAAACAGAAACUAAAGCAAGUGUUGGAUUUAAAGCUGAUGUUAAGGAUUAUAAAUUAACUUACUACACCCCGGAGUACAAAACGAAGGAUACUAAUAUCUUGGCAGCAUUCCGAGUAACUCCUCAGCUCGGGGUUCCGCCUGAAGAAGUAGGAGCUGCAGUAGCUGCGGAAUCUUCUACUCGUACAUGGACAACUAUUUGGACUGAUGGACUUACCAGUCUUGAUUGUUACAAAGGAUGAUGCUAUCACAUCGAGCCCAUUCCUAGGGACCCAGAUCAAUAUAUCUGUUAUGUAGCUUAUCCAUUAGACCUAUUUGAAGAGGGUUUUGUUACUAACAUGUUUACUUCCAUUGUGGGUAACGUACUUGGUUUCAAAGCCUUACACGCUCUACAUUUGGAGGAUCUACGAAUUCCCCCUGCUUAUGUAAAAACUUUCCAAGGUCCACCCCACGGUAUCCAAGUUGAAAGGGAUAAGUUGAACAAGUACGGUCGUCCUUUAUUGGGAUGUACUAUUAAACCAAAAUUGGGAUUAUCCACAAAAAAUUAUGGUAGAGCGUGUUAUGAGUGUCUAUGCGAUGGAAUGGAAAGCAAAAGGCAAAGCCUCUGCUCAGCGAAGGCCCUUGCUGUCAGUCAUCAGCCCAGUGGGCUGGGACAAGCUUCUGCUGGCGAAAGCUUCCUCUCGUCUGAGGCUGCAGUCGCCCAUGACCUUUGCUGCCUCGGCCGCAUCCUCUGCGCCGUGGCGGAGGCUUCUUAUGACCCGUAUUACGCCACAUACAAAGCCACAUCAAUCAACUAUUAA